UACGGAGGGGGCUAGCGUUGUUCGGAAUUACUGGGCGUAAAGCGCGUGUAGGCGGCUCGUUAUGUCGGGUGUGAAAGCCCUCAGCUUAACUGAGGAAGUGCGCCCGAAACUGGCGAGCUUGAGUGUCGGAGAGGAUAGCGGAACACCCGGUGUAGAGGUGAAAUUCGUAGAUAUCGGGUAGAACACCAGUGGCGAAGGCGGCUAUCUGGACGACAACUGACGCUGAGACGCGAAAGCGUGGGGAGCAAACAGG
rnacentral:rRNA from 1 species